GGUUGUGGACACUGGACAAAUCAGAGGUGACCUGCAGGAGCUGGAGAUGGACAGUUCUUUCCCAAGCUUCCUGUCCUCUUUAAGGUUUCCUGGGACUGUCUGACACACGGGGCGUGAGGUCAUACAGCAGGAACCACAUCACGACUGAGGUGGAAUAUUCUGGCAACCUCAUGGGCCGGCACAGCUCAACAGAUUGUUUUGGAUGGAGGGGGAGAAGGCAGGACUUGCCGCAUACUGAGGUUGUGGACCACGAUUCCUUUACAGUGACCAGUGAGUUGUGUCAUUCCAAGUGUUAACACGGCGUUGUCACCCUUGACGGGGCUAGCUGGUCUUUCCGUCAACUCUAGGUGUCACUGUGAGAUUGUGCACUGGACGUGCGUGCGCAGGCCCCUGCAGAGCUCCUGCCUCCUCCGCAUGCUGACUCACGGUGCCAUUCCCAGCUCCCUCUCAGCAGGAAAUCAAACCUUUUCAUGCAGCCAUUCAAGACAACCCCCCCCAGACGAAGAUGAGGGAGGGAGCGGGAAGCACUUCUCUGAGCUGAAGCUUUGACCCUGUCUGCAGGACCCAGGGCAGGAAUCAUCUGGAAGUAAGUCGCUUCCUGUCGCAGUAGCCAGUAGAGAGAGAACGAGAGGCGGAGGACAGGGGGAGGCACGGACCACCAGCCUCUUCCCGACCCUGCUCUUCAGAGACGCAGAGUGUUUUGGAUAUGAGAAGCAAAGGCUUUCUCUUCCUUCCUCUUGGAGGUGAUUUUAAGUCUUUCCUCGCACUUUUUUUUUUCAGUGAAUGCUUGGCCUGGAAAAAAUUGCGGCAGACUGCAAAAAAAUUUUGUUCUUUUGAUUCUUAAAUGGGGCGUUUUGAAGUUAGCACAGUGAGUGUGCUCAAACAGUAUGCAAAUUAGGACCCAGUGCCGGCCUAGCUGCUGCAGUCUGGCAACCCGUCCUGCUGCCUGGGAUUAGGUGCAGAGCACACAGGUGGCUUCAUCCAGCCAGACCCAGGGUUAGGCAUGCACCUGUCAGCUGUGAAGGGAGGCUAGGAAGGAUUUGGGUGAAUUCUGAAGCAAACAGAAACUCCAGAGAGCACCAACAACUUCCUAGUAACAUGAGUCAAGAAACCGUAGUCGGGGUUGAUCUGCAAAUCAGGAAAUGCAAGUCAAGUUAGACAGGAUGAGUUUUUCCACGGAGAGAAAGUGAGCUUGGGCUGUUGGAGCAAGAGUGGGAACAUGCAGCUGAACAUCUUCUGGGGGAGACAAGCAGGACUGAGUGAGGCAAGUUCAGUGGUUGGACGCAGACAUAAAUCAGGACAGUUGUCGAUUGUGUAAGUGAGCUGGAGUACCCACGUCCGGGGGCAAAACGGCUCCGUCUGGUGUUCCCCAGGCCCUGUGAAGCAUUGUCAGGUUCUGGGAAUUUAUUCUUCUGGCAGAUUCGACUCCCCACAUGAAAUCUGUGCAGCAACUUACCUCCUGACAGUAAAGCUCUAAGUCCUGGAAAAGGAUUUUUGCCUUCCCUUUGACCACUCUGCAUCCAUUUUGAUUUCUGUGCUAUUGCCAACUGGCUUUGCUGGUGAGUCAUCGCUUCUGAGACUGCAGACUAUCUGCAGCACACACCUUGCCAUCCACACGGACCCGUCUGCAGUAUCCAGCUGCUUUAUAAGUUACCCAAUCUCAGGUGUUUUGUUACAGCAACAGAAAGUGGACUAAGACACCCACACAAUGAGAGGUUUCCACUUGAAUAUUUCCUUAUCAUCACAGCUUAAUAGGUUCCUAACUUAUUUUUCUUUUUUUUUUUUUUUCUAUUUUGGACAACAGACUAUGAGACAGUCAAAUCCGAAAUAUGUUCAUUACCUUUGACUCAUUCCUUUAUUGACUGUAAAUAAUCAGUGUCCAAGUCCUGUUAAUUUACCCCCAAAACAUUUUUCUUGAUCCUGUUCCCCUGUUUCCCCCACCUCCAGUCCAUUCUGGGAUUUUAUCUGAUGGUCUUCAAACUUUAUUGUCCUCGUAGGUUACUUUAAGUUUCCAUUGAAGUUUAUGAAUUGUGAUUGUGCCCAUACAUGUACAGGUUUGAGCAUACACCGGGACCUUCACAGAAACAAGUCCUAUGGUCCUUUCUGUCUGUAUUGCCAUCCUUUUCAUUCCAUGUGUCCCUCGUUAAUAUUUUUAAUGACUGUCCCUAUAAAAGGCCGUCAGUGGCUCCAUAUCAACCUCAGAAGAAAAUUCGAGACUCAGUUGAAUAUUCCCAAACACUCAAGCCUGUGAAAGGGACUCAAACUACCUUUUCAGUUUUACUUCCUCAAAUAUAGAUGUGAAAAACAAAAACAAAAACAAAAACAUAGAAAUAAUAAAAGCCGUCGUGUGCAACCGAGCACUGACGGUCUUCCGGGAUGCGCUGCCUUGGGGUCUGACGGCCUCACGACUCUGCCCAUGAGAGAGAAACCAGCCAGCAAGCCAAGGUCAAGGACGGGCUCAUGACCCAAGGCCCUUUCCUCUGGAGUGGGCUCCAGGGGGGCCGGUCCCUUGGGACAUUCUUGCAGUGCUUCUAGCCAGGUGGAGGGAGGUCUCCCCCUCCCCUCCUUUCCAAUCUAGGACCCACGGCCUCCAGGUCAGCUCUCUCUCGUGUCCCCGGCUGACACCCCAACUGGUGGAAGCUCCCACUCAGCAGCAGCACCCACGGAGGAGCGCUAUGCUCCUUCUCCACCCAGAAUCUGAGUCUGGCCUGAUUCAGUUUCAGUCCCUUAACCUCGAACCUAGUGCUGCACAGGAGGAGCCUGGGCAGAGGCCGAUGCCGGGGUCCCCUCCUCACUUGGUCCCAGGAAGCUGCAGAGACUGGAGACCCCGUGUUCCGCUGUCCUCCCUCUCCACCCCACAGCAGGAAGAAGCAGCGAAACAGGAGUGGGAAAAGGAUCCGGCUGUGGCCGCCAAGGACUCCUGAGGGUGAAGCUGUGUGAAGCACCUACUCAGAGUCUCCACUUCCCUUUCCACAAAGGCAGAGUCAACCUCUCUGGGGUUCUGGGAUGUGAAAGGCAAGGAUGCGUCUGAAAUCAUCUUCACAGGGUCUAGGACACAGAAUUUCCAGAAGCCUGUCCCUUUCCUACCUCUCGGCCUGCAUCCUCACCCACAUGACCGGAUGCACACGAUUGCCUCUAAGUUAAAGCAGAACACUCCUUCAGCAAGCUGUCCAGCUGGUGUGUCUGGGGUAACACUGUGCCUGCCAAGACACUGCAGGUGACCACAGGCAACUGAAAUGACAGAAAAUGAAGCCAUGGACGCGAGGAGGGGACUGCUGCACAUGCUUUCACAGACACAGACCAGGAAAGAAAGGCAGGGGCUGAAAUUCGAGGCAGAGGAGGAGCACAAUGAGGUGAGAACUGUAAAGAAGGCCUGGAACAUUGAGGAGCUCAGAAAUGGGAUGUGGCCCCGUCUCCCAGGAUCAGGGUUUGAGGUGUCUUUCCCCAGGGCAGAGCUUGACUGACAGGGGCCACCUGCUGCCUCCCUCCAAGAGUACAGUGAGCUCAGAUCCUGGAAGAAGGGAGUUUGCAGACUAAGGUGACCCAGGCUCCAGCCCUCUGAUGAUGCCUGGCAGAUCCACAGCUACAGUGCAGGAGGCCUGCUUGAAGGAUGACAUUAACUCCUUGUAAUGACAUUGACUCAUUACUAAUUCCUUGCAAGAACCCCAUAAUAGGUAUUAAUAUCAUUUCCACUUUGCAGAUGAAGUAAGUAGAGCACAGAAAGGCUAAGUAACUCAUUCAAGAUCACACAGCUAGUAAGUGCCAAAUUGGGAUACAAACUCAGGCAGCCUGGCACCAGACCAGAGUCUACUUAACUACUAUGUGAUUCUGUCUCCAAACAAGUAAGUAGUCUUUGAGGUAGAAGAGAGUAGAUGCCAGGAGAAAUUCAAGUACUAUGUCAUGUCAAGAAGGAAAGAAAUUUUAUGCAUAAGUUAGGUUUAACAACAGAACUAACCCAGAACUUUUGAUAGUUCCUGAAGGAUGAGCAAGUUCAAAGGAGGCAAGUCCAGGGGAGGAUAUUCUGGAGAGAGGGAACGAAUGUCUGCAAAUGAAUCCUUAUGCUACCCUCAGAUGGUACCAUGAAGUCUGAUCUGUCUGCUAAUAAGAGUAUCAACUUGUUUUUAUUCCAAUUUUAUAUCAUUCAUUUGUUCAUUCAUUCAUUCAUUCAUUCAUUCAUGUAUUUGCUCGUUCAUGUGGUCACUCUGAGCACUGUGUGCUGAGUGUCCACUGGACUGGACACUAGCAAUGCAAGCAUACCCUGCGCUCUCCUUUUCCUCCAUGAUGGAAGUUAAAUACCUCACUUUUUCCUCCCCACUCAAUGAGAUUUCCCCCUUCUCAGUGUGACAAAAACAUAAUAAAGGGUAGGGACCUAUAUUUUAGAAGUAUAUAUAGACGGUCAAUAGCUCUUGUUCUCAAGACAGCUUAUGACUCACUGGAAGUGAUAGAAUAUUCACAAACAAAGGCAAGCAAAGAGUUACAGGCGUCAUACUAAGUUUAUAUUAAUAAAUUGAAUAUAUGCAAAUAUAGAAAAUAUGCACUACUGAAUAUGUGGACCAAGUGUACCCAUAUACACCCCAGAAAAUACCUGUGUGCUAUGGUCUAUGUGGGAGAGGCUAGAGGGACAGAGA